GGCGUAUUCUGCGUCCGAGUUGUAAUUUGAAGAAGGAUACUUUGGGGUUGGCUCUUGUCUAUGUUUCUUGGAACAGAACGUCACAGAGGGUGAGAAUCCCGUGCGAUGAGAAGCCCAAUUCCGUGUAAAGUGCCUUCGAAGAGUCGAGUUGUUUGGGAAUGCAGCUCUAAGUGGGUGGUAAAUUCCAUCUAAAGCUAAAUAUUGGCGAGAGACCGAUAGCGAACAAGUACAGUGAUGGAAAGAUGAAAAGAACUUUGAAAAGAGAGUGAAAAAGUACGUGAAAUUGUUGAAAGGGAAGGGCUUGAGAUCAGACUUGGUAUUUUGUAUGUCUUGCUUUCGGGUGGGGCCUCUGCAGUUUACUGGGCCAGCAUCGGUUCGGGUGGUAGGACAAUUGCGAAGGAACGUGGCACUGCUUCGGUGGUGUGUUAUAGCCUUUGUGGAUACUGCCUGUCUGGACCGAGGACUGCGUC
rnacentral:rRNA from 1 species